CGUUUUUUGAUUAUAAUUUAAGAUUUAUUCUGCUCAAUGAAAAUUUAAAUAGCCGCAGUAUUUUAACUGUGCAGAGGUAGCAUAAUAAUUUGUUUAUUAAUUGUAAACUGGAAUGAAAGAAUAGAUAAAAUAUUUACUUUAUUAAUAUUAUAAAUAUAAAGUUAAUUUUUUAGUAAAAAAGCUAAAAUUUUUUAUUGGGACGAGAAGACCCUAUAGAAUUUUAUAUUAUAAUGAAUAUUUUAAAUUAAUAUAUUUUUAUAUAUUUAUUAUAUUAAUUUAUUGGGAGGAUAAUUAAAUUUUUAAACUUUAAUAUAAUUAACCAAAGAUAAAUGAAGAUUGGAUUUUAUAUAUAAAAUUUUAGAAAAAUUACCUUAGGGAUAACAGUGUAAUAUUUUUAGAAAGUUCUUAUUGAUAAAAAUGUUUAUAACCUCGAUGUUGAAUUUAGAUUAAUUUAAAUAGAAGUUUGUUUAAAUUUUAGUCUGUUCGACUAUUAAAAUCUAACAU
rnacentral:rRNA from 1 species